AGAGCGAACGCUGGCGGCAGGCCUAACACAUGCAAGUCGAACGCCCAGCAAUGGGAGUGGCAGACGGGAUAGUAACACGUGGGAACGCGCCCUUCGGUUCGGAAUAACUCAGGGAAACUUGAGCUAAAUACCGGAUACGCCCUUACGGGGAAAGAUUUAUUGCCGAAGGAACGGCCCGCGUCGGAUUAGCUAGUUGGUGAGGUAAUGGCUCACCAAGGCGACGAUCCGUAGCUGGUCUGAGAGGAUGACCAGCAUCACUGGGACUGAGACACGGCCCAGACUCCUACGGGAGGCAGCAGUGGGGAAUAUUGGACAAUGGGCGCAAGCCUGAUCCAGCCAUGCCGCGUGGAUGAUGAAGGCCCUAGGGUUGUAAAGUCCUUUAACGGGAAGAUAAUGACGGUACCGUAGAAUAAGCCCGGCUAACUUCGCGCCAGCAGCCGC
rnacentral:rRNA from 1 species